GAAACGCGAUAGGUAAUGUGAAUUGCAGAAUUCCGUGAAUCAUCGAAUCUUUGAACGCACAUUGCGCCUUCUGGUAUUCCGGUAGGCAUGCCUGUUUGAGCGUCAGCAAAACCCCUCAGCAAAUGUAUUUUUGUUGGUCAUGGGCCAGGGAGGAAAUGGGGAGGACUUGUCCUUCCGCUCCCGCCUUAAACUUGCUGCAUGACCGCAAGCUCUGGCUAGGUUAAUGGAGUGGUAUUUACUUAUAUUCCGAACACCUCAGCUGCUGCUCCGCGGCGUUAAACGUGAUGUUGCUCAUAUUGCAACUGAAGUUUGACCUCAAAUCAGACAAGGAUACCCGCUGAACUUAA
rnacentral:misc_RNA from 1 species